rnacentral:rRNA from 1 species
UACGUAGGGGGCAAGCGUUGUCCGGAAUCAUUGGGCGUAAAGAGCGUGUAGGCGGCCCGGUAAGUCCGCUGUGAAAGUCCAGGGCUCAACCCUGGGAUGCCGGUGGAUACUGUCGGGCUCGAGUCCGGAAGAGGAGUGUGGAAUUCCUGGUGUAGCGGUGAAAUGCGUAGAUAUCUGCAGGAACACCCGUGGCGAAAGCGGCGCGCUGGACCACUACUGACGCUGAGGAACGAAAGCUAGGGGAGCAAACAGG